rnacentral:rRNA from 1 species
UACUAUGUGCGUUUUACACCUAGCUUGCUCUGCUCAAUGAACACUUAAAUAGCCGCAGUACCCUGACUGUGCAAAGGUAGCAUAAUCAGUUGGCUCAUGAUUGGAGUCUUGUAUGAAUGAGUGAAUGGGUACAGCCUGUCUCCGAGUGAUCUAUGGAAGUUUUUGAGUAAGUGCAAAUGCUUACAACUAACUAAAAGACGAGAAGACCCUAGAAAUUUUUUACAAAAAACGUAUAACAGCGAUCUCGUAUUUUGCUGGGGCGGCAGAGUAACACUAUAGUAACUUACUUAAUAAAUUCAACUUUUUUUUACAGUUAAACUACAAUUACUCUAGGGAUAACAGCGUAAUUCUUUAGAGCUUGCGACCUCGAUGUUGGACUAUGGAGAAAAGUACGCAGAAGGUAUUUUUCCACGUUCUGUUCGAACGGUGUUCCUUACAUG